CCUACAUCACAGAAAAGGUGGUCUACAACAGAAAUUUGAAUGUUGUUUUUCCUGUCUGUCAGGUUAUCUGAUAAUGCCUUAUCUGAUGGCCUUUCCUGGUAGUCUGUCACCCUUUGAGAUGAUGAUUUCCCAAUUCCUGAGACAAUGGGAAGGCUCCCUGACCCCCCCCCCCUCCUUGCAGAGAAAACAUUUGGUCAGUUUGGGAGUCAAAAUGGUUUCAGGUUGGUCUUCCUGUGCUGAUUAUGUACGUGCUUGGUUGGUACAUUUAUGAACAUUUAUUUUAUAUAUAUAAGACCUUAAAUUUUAUUAUUACAAUUACAGUUGGACAAAUUUCACAACUGCAGAAUUUGGGAGCCAGCCAGACAAAAGCACCGCUGAAAAUCCCCAAGCAAAGCCUGAUGUGGAAGUCCCACCCACCUUAGGUAAGCCCUUAAACCACCUGACAUUUGCUGAACAUGUGAUUAGAAUACUCAGGAAAUGCAUUCUCCUCCUUUCCCUUGCUUAUUCCCCGCCCCCCUUGCUUUUCCCAUAUAGAAAAUAAGUCCUAACCUGAAGGUUUUCCUAUUUGGUAUGUGUACAGUCUGGAAAAAGUAGGAAAAAGAGGAAAGGGGAAUUCCUUUUUCCUUUUGCAAACUCGAGAAUGUGAUGUAAAACUUAAGCAGAAGAAAAAGCUAAUAAAUAUGGAGAAGUGAACAUUUUAGCAGGCAGGGUUUAAAGCCCCAUCAUAGCAUAGACUGAUGUUGGGUACUCAUAACACAUUUGAAACAUCUUUUGAGAAAGCACCGUCAAAGUGCAAUAAUAAUGCUGUUUGACAAUAGCAAAAUGUGUCUCUCUGUGCAAUUGAAUCAAUUACACCUUGAUUAUUGCUCAGAUCUUUUGCUACCAUAUUUUGAACGUUGUGUUGGAAAAUGCAAAUAACCCUGUCUUAAGUGAAGGAACAUUGUAAGGGAGGGGCGGGCAUGGAAAUCUCUGUGCACAAAUUUUUAUACAAGAUUUUCCUGAAGCUCGGUAUCUAUUUCUCAACAGAUGGAAAUCUUUCCUCCUCCUCACACCUAAAAAAAGAAAAAAAAGAAAAAGAAAUAAACGAAACCUAAUUUUAUAAGCACAGCAAGAUCUUUUUCAUUUCUCUGUGAAACUUUGUUUUGCAGAGAUAUUUCAAAGACCCCUCUUGGCCUGAGAAGAAGAGUUUUGAAGAGAGCAAAGACCACUAAUCAAAAAGCGAAGCAGAAGGGAGUUUUCAAGCCCAUCAAAAUAAAAGAUUGAAGUGAGGGAAGAGACGUGAUUCUGGGUGCUUUCCUUGAAAAAUAAGCUUGGGAGACAUUCUAUCAGAUGCGGUUACGUCUACGCAACACCCUCACAUUUGAUUGCCAUCUGGCAACCCGCAGAUAUCAGCUGCUAUUACCUACG